AGAACGAACGCUGGCGGCAGGCUUAACACAUGCAAGUCGAGCGCCGUAGCAAUACGGAGCGGCAGACGGGUGAGUAACGCGUGGGAACAUACCCUUCGGUUCGGAAUAAUUCAGGGAAACUUGGACUAAUACCGGAUACGGACGAGAGUCGAAAGAUUUAUCGCCGAAGGAUUGGCCCGCGUUCGAUUAGCUAGUUGGUGUGGUAACGGCGCACCAAGGCGACGAUCGAUAGCUGGUCUGAGAGGAUGAUCAGCCACAUUGGGACUGAGACACGGCCCAAACUCCUACGGGAGGCAGCAGUGGGGAAUAUUGGACAAUGGGCGCAAGCCUGAUCCAGCCAUGCCGCGUGAGUGAUGACGGCCUUAGGGUUGUAAAGCUCUUUCGCUAGGGACGAUAAUGACGGUACCUAGACAAGACGCCCCGGCUAACUUCGUGCCAGCAGCCGC
rnacentral:rRNA from 1 species